AAAAAAUUUAAUUUAUAUUUAUUAUUAAUUUAAAAAGUUAUAAAAAUAUAUAAAUUUUUGUUUAAAAAUAUAUUAAAUAAAUAGUUUUUAUUUAAUAAUUAAAAUUAACCAAUUAAAGAAAUUUUUAGUUUGUAAAUUUUUUUUAAUUAUAAAUUAAAAAAGUGCCAGCAAUAGCGGUUAAACUUUUUAUAAAAAAUUAAUAUAUUUAAUUUAAUAAUUAAAUAAAUAAUUUAAUUAUUUUAAUAAAUCAAUUUAAAAUAUUUGGUAAAAUGAAUUUAUUUAAAUUUAAAUAAUAUUUAUUAUAUAAUUAGUUAUAUUGAAAUUUAUUAAAAUUUAUUUUAAAACUAAGAUUAGAUACCUUAUUAUAUAAAACUAAAUAAAAAUAUUAAUAUAGUAAAUUUUAAUAAUUAAAUAAAUAAAUUUGACAGUAUUUUAAUUUAUUCAGAGGAACUUAUUGUAUAAUUGAUAAUCCACGAUAAGAUUUACUUAUAUAAUAAUAUUUAUAUAUAUUCGUUUAUUAAAUAAUAUUUUAAAAUAAUUUUUGAAAUUUUUUAAUUAAAAAUAAUUCAGAUCAAUAUGUAAUUUAUUUAUAAGAAAUUAAUGAGUUACAUUAAUUAUAUAUUUAAUAAAAUUUUUAUUUUUAAAUAAUAUUAAAUUAAUAGAAUUUGAAUGUAAAAUAAAUUAAUUAAUUAAUUUGAUUAAAAUUUUAAAAUAGGUACAAAUUGCCCGUCAAUUUAAUUAUUUGAAAAUAAAAUAUUUUAAUAUAAUUUAUUUUUUUAAGUUAAAUAAGUCGUAACAAAGUAAAAAUACUGGAAAGUGUUUUUAGAAUUUA
rnacentral:rRNA from 1 species